rfam:Pan troglodytes isolate Yerkes chimp pedigree #C0471 (Clint) chromosome 16, whole genome shotgun sequence.
GCUGGGCACGGUGGCGCAUGCCUGUAAUCCCAGCUACUCGGAAGCUGAGGCAGGAGAAUCGCUUGAACCUAGGAGGCAGAGGUUGUAGUGAGCAGAGAUCGCACCACUGCACUCCAGCCUGGGUGACAGAGCAAGACUCUGUCUCAA